rnacentral:lncRNA from 1 species
GUGCCUCUAGCUGUACCUCAUGUAAAAUCUUGCCUACUGCGUGCAGCCGCAACCUGAAAAGGUCCGACGGCCGGGAUGAGACAGCUUCUUCACGGGUCAACAAGGACAAAUACCAUCGCAUCUUGUCGACUCCCGUAGUCUCUUGCAGCCAUCUCUACCGAACAAGCUGAAUGCUCCUAAAUGUCUCUCUGAAUUAUGAGCCAGGUACAGUAAUACCAAAACGCCUCGCAGCAUCGCAGGCGACGUUAGCCGAUGUUAACUGACGACCACGUAUAGCCUCAUGAUCCUUAUCCAUGGCAUGCAUUCGCUGGCAGGUAUACGUGAUACAUCGAUCCGCGGCCGGUAUGUACCUCGGGCACGCCGCAUGUGACCGAGAUCAAGGACCACAGGCAGACACGAGUCUACCAAUCGAUCGGCAUUCU